rnacentral:rRNA from 1 species
GACGAACGCUGGCGGCGUGCUUAACACAUGCAAGUCGAACGGUAAGGCCUUCGGGUACACGAGUGGCGAACGGGUGAGUAACACGUGGGUGAUCUGCCCUGCACUUCGGGAUAAGCCUGGGAAACUGGGUCUAAUACCGGAUAGGACCACUGCCUGCAUGGGUGGUGGUGGAAAGCUUUUGCGGUGUGGGAUGGGCCCGCGGCCUAUCAGCUUGUUGGUGGGGUGAUGGCCUACCAAGGCGACGACGGGUAGCCGGCCUGAGAGGGUGACCGGCCACACUGGGACUGGGAUACGGCCCAGACUCCUACGGGAGGCAGCAGUGGGGAAUAUUGCACAAUGGGCGCAAGCCUGAUGCAGCGACGCCGCGUGAGGGAUGACGGCCUUCGGGUUGUAAACCUCUUUCAGCACCGACGAAGCGCAAGUGACGGUAGGUGCAGAAGAAGGACCGGCCAACUACGUGCCAGCCGCCGCGGUAA